AUUGAACGCUGGCGGCAGGCCUAACACAUGCAAGUCGAACGAGUGGCGGACGGGUGAGUAAUGUCUGGGAAACUGCCCGAUGGAGGGGGAUAACUACUGGAAACGGUAGCUAAUACCGCAUACCAUCGGAUGUGCCCAGAUGGGAUUCGCUAGUAGGUGGGGUAAAGGCUCACCUAGGCGACGAUCCCUAGCUGGUCUGCGAGGAUGACCAGCCACACUGGAACUGAGACACGGUCUAGACUCCUCCGGGAGGCAGAAGUGGGGAAUAUUGCACAAUGGGGGCAAGGCUGAUGCAGCCAUGCCGGGUGUAUGAAGAAGGCCUUCGGGUUGUAAAAUACUUUCAGCGGGGAGGCGUUACUCGCAGAAGAAGCACCGGCUAACUCCGUGCCAGCAGCCGCGGUAAUAC
rnacentral:rRNA from 1 species